CUUUCCUCUGCUCGGAUUGUGCUCUGACAGAUCUCAUAGUUUCUGAAUUUCCUCAAAAGAUCUGAUGGGGCAUCCCCCGACCAGCGGAAACUGAUUGCUUCCAAAAUGAUGAUGACCGGGCUGCACACUUCUGUCAAUGAAGCUUCCCAACCUUGCCUUCAACAGAAAGGUUUCAGUGUCUGUUUUUGUGCCACAAAGUGAACUGCAGUUUCAAGAGCAGGAUUCAGCUGACAAAACCCUAAGCCUUGCAAGCUUUUUGUUCACAGGGAGUUUUCCCAUCUACAGUCUGUUCAGACAGAAUGAACAAGGAGUCCAAAACACAGCAGUGGGCAUAUUUGUUUUCCCUCCUCCCAGGGAUUUCCAGUGAUUGGGAUACAAACAAAAGGUUUGAGCAUGGAACCUGCAAAAUACUAAUACAGCAGAGCAGCACAGUCAAUUGCUGCUCCAUCCGACUUCCCAGAACAAUGCAUGGAGCAUCAUCAGAAAAGGAAAAGAGAACCCAUAUAUAAAAAUAUAAAGAUUACCUUCAGGAGAUAAGCGAUGUUUGAAAGGGAAUCACAGCACGGGAGAUGGUAUAGUGUGUGCGUAUUCACAUGUUUUGGUUAGUGUACCUCGGAGUGUACAAACAGUACAGAAAGUGAGGAAAUCUCGUAUUUGUCCUCUGUACCCAGCCACUAACAACGUGUUUGUGUUCGUUCCCAACACGUAAUCAACAACGUUGCGUGCUCAAAGUCAGGAGCAAAAGUAAAUCCUGGCUCAGCGUAACAGAAGGCUUGCCAUCCACUUGUUGGUCCAAAAUGGCUAUUUAAAUAUAACAAGGGAGAACUGGACAUCUGUAUUUCAAUUUAUUCCCAUUCAAUGUAUCCAAUCUUUAGCACCAGCUCUUCUCAAUCAGCUUGAGUUGUAUUGCUUCCCAAGGACAGAGCACACAGAAUUCAAGGCACAACAUGACUCAACUAAGUUCUGCAUGCUCCACUUUUGGACGGUCACACAUACUCAGAGAUGCAGAAACAGAAGAGGAGCCAAGCACUGCCAAACCGACUUCCCAAUUCAGGGGCAACUGCUGCAACAUCAUGACUGCAUGCACAAAUGCUUGCAUGCUUAAGAGUCAGCUUUAGGACCCUUGAUUCAUUUCCUCAUAAACAGCUUCGCAGAAGGCUUUCUAUCAACCAUCUGUGCCAGUUAUGAGCAUCUAAAUAGCAUCACUGAAGUAACACCUCUCUUCUUAGGCCUCAAAAUCUGCUUCUUGUCUCAACUUCAACAUAGAAAAAGAAUGCUUUAGUACAAAUCUGCAGACAAUGACAGAAUUGUUCUGAUUCACAUUGUUACUUCUAGUUUUG
rnacentral:lncRNA from 1 species